GGUUAAGCGACUAAGCGUACACGGUGGAUGCCCUGGCAGUCAGAGGCGAUGAAGGACGUGCUAAUCUGCGAUAAGCGUCGGUAAGGUGAUAUGAACCGUUAUAACCGGCGAUUUCCGAAUGGGGAAACCCAGUGUGAUUCGUCACACUAUCAUUAACUGAAUCCAUAGGUUAAUGAGGCGAACCGGGGGAACUGAAACAUCUAAGUACCCCGAGGAAAAGAAAUCAACCGAGAUUCCCCCAGUAGCGGCGAGCGAACGGGGAGCAGCCCAGAGCCUGAAUCAGUGUGUGUGUUAGUGGAAGCGUCUGGAAAGGCGCGCGAUACAGGGUGACAGCCCCGUACACAAAAAUGCACAUGCUGUGAGCUCGAUGAGUAGGGCGGGACACGUGGUAUCCUGUCUGAAUAUGGGGGGACCAUCCUCCAAGGCUAAAUACUCCUGACUGACCGAUAGUGAACCAGUACCGUGAGGGAAAGGCGAAAAGAACCCCGGCGAGGGGAGUGAAAAAGAACCUGAAACCGUGUACGUACAAGCAGUGGGAGCACGCUUAGGCGUGUGACUGCGUACCUUUUGUAUAAUGGGUCAGCGACUUAUAUUCUGUAGCAAGGUUAACCGAAUAGGGGAGCCGAAGGGAAACCGAGUCUUAACUGGGCGUUAAGUUGCAGGGUAUAGACCCGAAACCCGGUGAUCUAGCCAUGGGCAGGUUGAAGGUUGGGUAACACUAACUGGAGGACCGAACCGACUAAUGUUGAAAAAUUAGCGGAUGACUUGUGGCUGGGGGUGAAAGGCCAAUCAAACCGGGAGAUAGCUGGUUCUCCCCGAAAGCUAUUUAGGUAGCGCCUCGUGAAUUCAUCUCCGGGGGUAGAGCACUGUUUCGGCAAGGGGGUCAUCCCGACUUACCAACCCGAUGCAAACUGCGAAUACCGGAGAAUGUUAUCACGGGAGACACACGGCGGGUGCUAACGUCCGUCGUGAAGAGGGAAACAACCCAGACCGCCAGCUAAGGUCCCAAAGUCAUGGUUAAGUGGGAAACGAUGUGGGAAGGCCCAGACAGCCAGGAUGUUGGCUUAGAAGCAGCCAUCAUUUAAAGAAAGCGUAAUAGCUCACUGGUCGAGUCGGCCUGCGCGGAAGAUGUAACGGGGCUAAACCAUGCACCGAAGCUGCGGCAGCGACGCUGAUGCGUUGUUGGGUAGGGGAGCGUUCUGUAAGCCUGCGAAGGUGUGCUGUGAGGCAUGCUGGAGGUAUCAGAAGUGCGAAUGCUGACAUAAGUAACGAUAAAGCGGGUGAAAAGCCCGCUCGCCGGAAGACCAAGGGUUCCUGUCCAACGUUAAUCGGGGCAGGGUGAGUCGACCCCUAAGGCGAGGCCGAAAGGCGUAGUCGAUGGGAAACAGGUUAAUAUUCCUGUACUUGGUGUUACUGCGAAGGGGGGACGGAGAAGGCUAUGUUGGCCGGGCGACGGUUGUCCCGGUUUAAGCGUGUAGGCUGGUUUUCCAGGCAAAUCCGGAAAAUCAAGGCUGAGGCGUGAUGACGAGGCACUACGGUGCUGAAGCAACAAAUGCCCUGCUUCCAGGAAAAGCCUCUAAGCAUCAGGUAACAUCAAAUCGUACCCCAAACCGACACAGGUGGUCAGGUAGAGAAUACCAAGGCGCUUGAGAGAACUCGGGUGAAGGAACUAGGCAAAAUGGUGCCGUAACUUCGGGAGAAGGCACGCUGAUAUGUAGGUGAAGUCCCUCGCGGAUGGAGCUGAAAUCAGUCGAAGAUACCAGCUGGCUGCAACUGUUUAUUAAAAACACAGCACUGUGCAAACACGAAAGUGGACGUAUACGGUGUGACGCCUGCCCGGUGCCGGAAGGUUAAUUGAUGGGGUUAGCGCAAGCGAAGCUCUUGAUCGAAGCCCCGGUAAACGGCGGCCGUAACUAUAACGGUCCUAAGGUAGCGAAAUUCCUUGUCGGGUAAGUUCCGACCUGCACGAAUGGCGUAAUGAUGGCCAGGCUGUCUCCACCCGAGACUCAGUGAAAUUGAACUCGCUGUGAAGAUGCAGUGUACCCGCGGCAAGACGGAAAGACCCCGUGAACCUUUACUAUAGCUUGACACUGAACAUUGAGCCUUGAUGUGUAGGAUAGGUGGGAGGCUUUGAAGUGUGGACGCCAGUCUGCAUGGAGCCGACCUUGAAAUACCACCCUUUAAUGUUUGAUGUUCUAACGUUGACCCGUAAUCCGGGUUGCGGACAGUGUCUGGUGGGUAGUUUGACUGGGGCGGUCUCCUCCUAAAGAGUAACGGAGGAGCACGAAGGUUGGCUAAUCCUGGUCGGACAUCAGGAGGUUAGUGCAAUGGCAUAAGCCAGCUUGACUGCGAGCGUGACGGCGCGAGCAGGUGCGAAAGCAGGUCAUAGUGAUCCGGUGGUUCUGAAUGGAAGGGCCAUCGCUCAACGGAUAAAAGGUACUCCGGGGAUAACAGGCUGAUACCGCCCAAGAGUUCAUAUCGACGGCGGUGUUUGGCACCUCGAUGUCGGCUCAUCACAUCCUGGGGCUGAAGUAGGUCCCAAGGGUAUGGCUGUUCGCCAUUUAAAGUGGUACGCGAGCUGGGUUUAGAACGUCGUGAGACAGUUCGGUCCCUAUCUGCCGUGGGCGCUGGAGAACUGAGGGGGGCUGCUCCUAGUACGAGAGGACCGGAGUGGACGCAUCACUGGUGUUCGGGUUGUCAUGCCAAUGGCACUGCCCGGUAGCUAAAUGCGGAAGAGAUAAGUGCUGAAAGCAUCUAAGCACGAAACUUGCCCCGAGAUGAGUUCUCCCUGACUCCUUGAGAGUCCUGAAGGAACGUUGAAGACGACGACGUUGAUAGGCCGGGUGUGUAAGCGCAGCGAUGCGUUGAGCUAACCGGUACUAAUGAACCGUGAGGCUUAACCUUAC
rnacentral:rRNA from 1 species